rnacentral:rRNA from 1 species
UACAGAGGUCCCGAGCGUUGUUCGGAUUCAUUGGGCGUAAAGGGUGCGUAGGCGGUCUUCUAAGUUUGAUGUGAAAUCCCGGGGCUCAACCCUGGAAUUGCAUUGAAUACUGGAGGACUAGAGUACCGGAGAGGAAACUGGAAUUUACGGUGUAGCGGUGAAAUGCGUAGACAUCGUAAGGAAGACCAGUGGCGAAGGCGGGUCUCUGGACAGUUCCUGACGCUGAGGCACGAAGGUCAGGGGAGCAAACGGG